AGGACGAACGCUGGCGGCGUGCUUAACACAUGCAAGUUGAGCGGUAAGGCCUCUUCGGGGGUACACGAGCGGCGAACGGGUGAGUAACACGUGGGUGACCUGCCCUCAGCUCUGGGAUAAGCCUGGGAAACUGGGUCUAAUACUGGAUAUGACUGCGCAUCGCAUGGUGUGUGGUGGAAAGUUUUUUCGGCUGGGGAUGGGCCCGCGGCCUAUCAGCUUGUUGGUGGGGUGAUGGCCUACCAAGGCGACGACGGGUA
rnacentral:rRNA from 1 species